UACGAAGGGUGCAAGCGUUACUCGGAAUUACUGGGCGUAAAGCGUGCGUAGGUGGUGAGUUAAGUCUGUCGUGAAAGCCCCGGGCUCAACCUGGGAAUGGCGAUGGAUACUGGCUCGCUAGAGUGCGGUAGAGGAGAGUGGAAUUCCCGGUGUAGCGGUGAAAUGCGUAGAUAUCGAGAGGAACACCUGCGGCGAAGGCGGGUUGCUGGGCUGACACUGACGCUGAAGUGCGAAAGCUAGGGGAGCGAACGGG
rnacentral:rRNA from 1 species